AGAAAAAAAAAGUAGGACUUUAAUGUCUGAAAAAAAAUUAAUGAUGACAACUCUGAGCAGUGGAUCACUCGGCUCACGGGUCGAUGAAGAACGCAGCCAGCUGCGAGACUUGGUGUGAAUUGCAGGACACAUUGAGCACUUACUUUUCGAACGCACAUUGCGGCCUCGGGUCCUACCCGGGGCCACGUCUGUCUGAGGGUCGGAUUAUGCUUGCAGAAGGGAGUUUCUUCCUGAUUGGUUGUGCCGGCUGCGUCCGCCGACCUAAAUUGUGUGAGUUUUCGACCCCGGCCGAGAGGCAUGCCACGAGAGGAUGUCCGAGAGCGGGAGUGGCAAAGUGCCUGCCUGCAAGCUUGGACCAGUGGUGGAAACCUGUGCUGGGGAAUUCAGAUGUGGAGUCUAUCUCCUACUUAACUUUGUCGACCUCAGAUCAGGCGAGACGACCCGCUGAAUUUAAGCAUAUAACUAAGCGGAGGAAAAGAAACCAACCAGGAUUCCCUCAGUAACGG
rnacentral:rRNA from 1 species